rnacentral:lncRNA from 1 species
GACCAGCUCCAAGAAUCCCACGGGAUCCCUGCACUUAGAGGCCCUGAGUCAACCCGUGCUUUGCUGCCACCAUCUCUCCUUUUGUUCACCCCUCACAACGAUGUGGGCAGUCCCCGACAUCCGUGUACUACUGACCUCCAGCGUGUACUACUCCAUCCGUGUACUACUGACCUCCAUGUACUACUGUCAACCAGCGUUAAAUGAGGAGAGCGGCACUGAACUUCCUGUGACUCGGACACUGCAGACAGAAUUUCCUCGAGGUUGCAGACGUGAGAGUCAGGCUGUGACCAGCCCAAAGGACCUGGGCUCAGUGUGGAACCUGCCAGCUGCUUCUGAACACCAUACGCCUGUGGGCCUGGAGGUCUGGGGCUCUGACAGACCCUCAUGAAUGUUCCUGAGGUCUCUGGGCUCCACCCCGCGCUCAGCUGCCCUGCAGGGACAGGUCAGGCUUCACACAGGCACCACCAGACACACUGGAAUCUGCCAGGCAUCCUCCUCCACCUUGGAAUAAUGUAGCAACCUGAUGUCACUUGCAAGUCAUCCUGAGAGCCUCCCAGAAGGGAGGAGAGUAACACAGAACUGGCCGAGGACACAGCUUGCGCCGUGCAGACACGUAUCACCAGCCAGCUCUCGUCCUCCUGUGCUCCCCUGGUCUAACCCCAGGUCCUUUGGCCAGGAGACCCCCUGGAGCCAGGCCCUCAUGAGCCCAAGCUCAGAAAACCCCUCAAUGCUCCUGAAAUGAAAUUCAUUCCCAAUACAACCAAUCUCAGCACAUAGUUUAAAAAGAAAAUCAAUAUAAUGCUCUAACUGCAUUUUAAUGGAGAAAUAAAAGAGAAGUGAUCUAUAAAAAACACACAAUAAAAUGUCUUCCAGUUCAUGUGCGUCCCUUAGAAAACCCAGGCGGC